UUUUUCCGGUUGAACCGGCAGGGCCGGUCCGGGUCUGACAACCUUGGUUUGAAGACCAUAUCUAGUACUCUAAACAAACACUUGUGGUAAGUAGGGAGUUGCAAUUAGAUGAAGACUGCUUUCUUGGAGUUGUAAGUCCAGGAGCUUCUUGCAUCUUCAAAGCUUCAACGCUCAUCCCAUCAGGCAACCUCCAUUUGAAGUGAUACAGAAGAUUUGCUAGUGCAAACUCUAUUGAAGUGAUGGCAAAGUUUAUUCCCGGGACAUAUCCUCCUCCCAGCAUCAAAUGGGAUGAACUUGAAGUCAAGGCCUUGAAAUUCAUGGAGCUACCAACAAAUCUCUCAGGUAUCUCAUAGGUUUGUACAACCUUUUGACGGGAUUCAUGGGGAAGUAGCAAUGGAGUAAGGUGCAGCCUCGGCACUUCUUUGAUUACUGCUUGUAAGUAGGUUAUAUGAGAAAUGCAGGGAGAUCCUAUCUCCCCCUUUCAUUUUCUCCUUGUUACCCAAAAUCUCUCGGCCAUUGUUAAUAAAGCUCUUUCCCUUUCUCUUGUCCCAGGCUUUAACCCUUCUCUUACCCAUGACUUCAAUCACCUUAUGUUCGCUGAUGAUCUUCUCCUUGUUACCAAAGCCACUCGCAAGAUUGCUCGUAAUUGCUUGAUGUGCCUUGACCUUUACCAUUCUAUUAUUAGCCAAAAGCCCAAUUCUAACAAAUCAGCUGUCUAUUUUCCUUCCUGGUGUAAUAAAAACUUUCUAAUUCCAUUUCUUCUAUUAUGGGCAUUAAUCAAGGAUUUUUUUUCCUUAGAAUUAUCUAGGUAUUCCUAUAUCCCUGACUAGAAUUCUCAUUCCUCAACUUAAGACUUUGAUCUCCAAAGUUCAAACCAAUCUUACAGCUUGGAAUCAUGCUCUGAUUUCCACAGUUGGUAAAGUCAUUCUCCUCAAUAGCUCCAUUUUCUCUCUUCCUAAUUAUUUCCUUUCAGUUAUGCAUCUUCUUGAUACUAUUCUUGACCAAAUUUCCAAACUUGCCAGAACUUUUCUCUGGAGUAAUGGCAGCAAUGAUAGAAGUUUACAUACUAUUGGCUGGACUGUUACUAAACUUAAAAAAAUCAGA